rnacentral:tRNA from 1 species
UACACUUUAGUGUAUGAUGCACAAAAAUUUUUGAUAUUUUAGGGGAUAGUUUAAAUCUAUUAAGUGUAG